ACUUAUUCUUUUCUGCAAUUUACAUGAGAAGUUUCAACAUAGAACAUACCGGGAUCUGGCUAGUUGUAUCCAAUAUUAAAGAUUUUGCUAUAAGGAGAUCAAUAAAACCAAACUUGAAAUAUUUAUCUUAAUUGAUCUCAUUUCCAUCCAUCUAUGGCUACAACAACUCAGUUUUUGUACCCUUGGACCUUUAUUCUAAUAAAGCCAAAUUUUCUAUAUCUGCAUGACAUGUAACUUAACAGUUACAUUUUUUUUUACCUGCAAGGGUUGUGAUACUUCAUAUACUACAGUAUAUUGGCAAGCACUCUAUUAUGUAGUACACAGCUACACACUAUCAAGUACUUAACAUCUUCAGUCUAAUUUAUGCCACCACCUCCAUUUCCUUGGUUGCUUCCAUCAUCUCCAUAUGGGGGCUGCUGACUGGUGGCACCACCCCGGCUGUUAUAUUGAUCUCUUGGUAUGCUGUGAUGGUUAUCAACACUGCUGCCAGAAUACCCAAGUGUUGUCUUAACCUUUUCCAUAUCUCCUCUAUCUCUUUGAUCCAGAUGGCCUAGUUUGUGUCUAGCGGAGCUGCAUGUCGCCAUUAUGAGCACAAGAAACAGCAGAAGAGAUACCGACUUCAUUCUGGGUUUCUUUUGCUUCUUUACAAGAAAUAUUUAGUUAAGUAAAAUGGAAGAAACUGCAGAUAAAGUCAGUAUUCACUUGGAGUUUGUUCAGUACAAUAAGAGGAAAAAUGAAAAAGAGAACCUACCUAAUAGAAGAACAACACUAGGGAAAUUUGAGAGGCAGGCCUGUGUUAGAAAAGGGUCAGGAGAUGUACCAGCUUUUAUAGUGAUAACUUAAGUAAAAAAAAUGGUAAUGUGGUCUCCACCAAUUACCGACAUUAUUAAGUGGAUGGGCUCAUGUUUCCGCUAAUGUGUAUCUAAUAUAAUUAAGUGAGAGGACCACAAGAAUUCUGUGAUGUGAAAUUGCACUGCAAAUUGCCCUACUUUUCACUAUGCUUUGUGAUGUAAAAAGUUCUCUUAAGCAUCCACCUCUUUUUUUGUAUAAAUCAAAGGCUGAGUUAUUGUUCAGGGAGCAGGUUCUGCUAUUUAUUUUGGAAAAUUGAUCCUAGUGAGGAUAGAUUUUGACCAUUGACCUUUGUAGAGUUUUGAUUUUCAGUUUUAAUUUACCUUUUAAUACUUGUUUGAAGUUUGAUUUAAUUGAAGAUCCAUAUAUAAUUCAAAUGUACAGGAAAAAUUAAUUGUAAAGGAUGCAUAUAUAGAUGUAUGGCUUAUAGUCAUACUUCAGUGAAAAGAAUAUGAUUAUAAAUAUAAACAUCUUUGUUAAGUUAAAACUACAUGAAAUUAAAUGCUUAAGAAAUGUGUAUGAAUGCAAAGGAUGUGAAUGUGACUGUGAAAAUUUUAGUGGUAAAGAGAAUACAGAUAUAUUUUCAAAUUUUAAAGACAGGUCAAAAUGCAGUUGAAACAUCAGAUUUCCUUAUUAGUCAAGUUUUGUUGGUAAUCAUAAAUUGGGCAUCUGUAGGCCACCAAAUACCAAUGAUUUCUUUCGUUAAUUAUGUAAUAUCAUCACCAACAAAAACUAACUUGUCAUUAUUUCACUUCCAUAUGCAUUGAACCAUUUGCUGAGAAUGAUAUCAGAGUUAGUGGUUUGGUGUUGCUAUGCAUGCAAUUAGGUUUAAGCCAUUAUAGGAUUACAUUUUUGCCACUCAGUGGGCUGCUUCUUUUUGAAAAGUAACUUUUACUUGCCUGUAGGAAAUAUAUCUUCCUUAACUUUACUGAGAUUACCAUUUCAUUGCUUGUUGCCAUCUAAUCCUUGAAUAAAGAAAACUGAGCACCAGACACUUGGCUACCAUUUGAAAAAUCAUCCUCUAAUUUGAUAUUACAUCUGAGAGUACAUUACUGAUAUCACAUGAAACAGCUACUAGAUUCUCUAGUAAAGGAUUAUUCUUUUAUCUCCAUUGCCUGCCUUACAUGUUUACAUGGUUUGCUUCAGAUUGUAUGUAGUAUUGAUGUUGAACAACAUGGUAAGGCUCUGAGGUUCAACCUAGUGCCAAACCAGUAUUAAUAACUACAUUUGAAUGCCUGUAAUAUCAUGAUGCAGGAAGGAAAUCUAUUUAUGAAGACCUCAUGAAUCAUUUUACCACAACACUAUGGCUAUUAAAAGAACAAGCACUAUUUACUGAAGCCUCAUCAUGAAAUAACAUACAUAGAUCUAUUAAUUUGUACUUACUAAGACCAUGUCAUGAAAACAACCUAAACAAUAACAAUCUCUCUAUAUUUAGAGGUAAGUCUGGGUACAUUAACUCUCAUGAUCUCAUAUUGACGGGAGCCUCAUGCAAGAGGUAUAUCUUUUAUAUCAUUUUCUAAUCAUGGGAUUAGUUUUCUAAUCUUAAGGGGCUAUUAUUGUUCACCAUUAAGAAAAGUGGACUCCCUGCAUGUUCUGGAUUUAACCAACUUUUAGGGAACAACCUAAAUUUAGUUAAGAAUGACAAUCACCUACUUCCAACACCUGUUUUUUAUAAAUUCAUCAACUAAAUGUCAGAUAAAUUACUUAAAACCUGGAAUAUAUUUUGGAAAUAAGUUGGUAUUUAAAAUUAGACAUCCUUUCCUAAGUAUAAUUUAUCAUCAUCUUCACACAUGGAUUCUUCCUCUAUUGGUAGGGUUCUCUUUCUGUGUAUAUAUAUAAUCAAGGCUUGCGGUUUUCACCUCUUUUCUCCAUUAAAAUAGGUUUUGAAGACUGAAGACUAGUAGAAAGCUAUAGGGAUUGGGAGAUUGAGGUUUUAAAUGAGAAGAAAUAGAGACUAAGCAAAUUCUUUGCCUUUUAUUCUCAUAGUGCUUGAAAUUAUUGGAUUGGCCUCUUUAGAUGGUUAAUGUUCUUUUACUGAUACAAACUCUACUAGUAUUAGCACUAGUAUUUUAAUCUGACAUUAGUAUAGGCAUACUGAAAAAAGAACAGUGAAGCCAGAUGGAUGAAAUUAUGUCUACAGUACAACAGUACAUAUGAGCAAAUAACUCUAC
rnacentral:lncRNA from 1 species